CACAUCGAGAUUAGAAAAAAAGAGAAGAAAGUGUUAGGAGCACAUGGAGUGUGAGCAUGACGAGGUCUCUUUGUUUGGUAACCUUUCCAUUAGUGUACCAAAUCCUUCUAUUUCUGGAAUGUUUUCUCUCUUCCGCUUCCUUUAUCAAUCUACUCAACUCUUCCUUCUCCAAUGCUCUUUAAAAGAAAUCUCCUAAUCUUUUAACCAAAAUAUUACCACUCAAUUUUUUCAAACAUAUAUAUAUAUAUAUGUUAUACAUGUUUCUUUCUCACUGAUUCUCUUUAAGUCAAAAUUUUUACAUGCCAAUCUUAGGUACAUCAGAAGAUAGUUGAUAUUGUUGGAAUUGUGUUUACUGCUGUCUAUUGGUUUAUUGGUACUUGUUCUCUUCGUCUUUGUGUCCCUAGAACAUAUCAAAUGAACGUUUUCAGAAGAUAGAUAAUCUUGGAUUCUCCAAGGAUGCUUAGAUCACUGCCUAGUAGUCCAUCUAAAGACAAAGACGAUGACUGUGCUUCAAAUGUUUUGUCUAAGUCCGAUUGUUGUUUCGCCAGCUUGACUUGAAAAGUUCUUUGUUGGAGAAAGAAAGUUCAAGCUCUUUGAUGGAGAAAGAAAGUUUAAACCGAACGAUCUGGUUUUUAGAUUUAAAAUGUCUGUCAGCUACCAAAAUUGUUGUCUGCGUGUGUGUUUUGCUGGAUUUGUGUACAUGUGUAAAAUUUUGGGCUAAAUGCUUAGAACUUAUCGAACAAAACUUUGGUUGACCAAUCAAAGUGUCACGUAGAUAAUUAAUUAAAAAAUAUUAAAUCUAUUUUAAAAUAACUAAAAAAAGAAUAAUACUAAUUUUAACAAGCUGAUGCCGCCAGCUAAACCGUAAACCCGAAUCUUAAAUUCUUAACCCUAAACAGUAAUUCUUAAACCCAAACCCUAUAUCUUAAACCUAAAUCCUAGACCUUAAACCCAAACCAUAUACUCUAAACCCAAAUCCUAGACCCUAUAAACCCAAACCGUAAACCUUAAAUCCAAACCCUAUACCCUAAACCAAAUCCUAGACUCUAAACCCAAAUUGUAUACUGUAAACCUAAAUCUUAGACUUAAAACCAAAACCGUAAACCCUAAACCCAAACCCUAAACCUAGACGCUAUAAGGUUUGAGUUUAGGGUCUAGGAUUUAGGUUUAGGGUAUAUGGUUUGCGUUUAGGGUUUAUGGUUUGGUUUAGGGUUUAGUUUAGGGUAUACAGUUUAGGGUAUACAAUUUAGGUUUAUGGUAUAGGAUUUGGAUUUAGGGUUUAGGGUUUGGGUUUAAGAUUUGCGGUUUAAGGUAUAGAAUUUAAGAUUUAGGGUUUACGGUUUAGCUAGCAGCGUCAUCGUCGUUAAAAUUGACGUUAUUCUUUUUUCUAGUUAUUUUUAAAUAAAUUUAAUAUUUUUUAAUUAAUUAUCUAUGUGCCACUUUGAUUGGUCCUAAAAAGAGAGGUGAAUUUAAAGAUUCACCCUAGGGGAUGAACUUAAGUUUUGUUCAAAAAAUAAACAAUUCUUUCACUUGUUAAAAAAAGUUUUUAUCAUUAUUAUUUUCCUAAAUUGGUACUACUUUGAAGGUUUCUAACUCGAAUCAUAACCAACUAAAGAAUGCAGAAAACACGUACAACUUAGUGGAGCUAAGAGCAUCUUCAUACCCAUUCCAUAAUUUACUCCAUAAAUAGAAGGAGAAAUGGAGUAAAAACAAAAAAUAAAAAAAUCAUUCUAUUUAUGGAGUAAUUUUUUUUUUUUGUUCAUAUUCUAUUUUUAGAGUAAAUUAUGGAGUAGGAAUGGAGAUGUAGUAAGCUCCGGUGAAGAAUACCACAUUUAACCACUUGACUAAAGAUACUUUCUCAACCUAAGAGUUUAUCUAGAGUAUACAAAGAAUUGAAUGAUCUUUAGAGCUAAUUCGGUUUUGAACUUUAAGACAUGGUAAUUUUUUUUGCUUUUAUACAUAAAUAUAGGUUAUGUGUAUGUGCGACCAAAAGAAAAAAACAUAUGAUAUCUGUAUGUAUUUUUGGUAGGAGAUUUGUUUUUGAUUUUAAGAAAAGUAUGUAAGAAUAUCUUGUCCAAAAAUUGUCUAAGUAUAUAUAUAUAGCUGGAAUGGAUAUUAAAAAUAUAGGAUCAAUUAGAUAGGAUCAUGCCAAAAAUUUAGACUAGAUAUUUACACCAUUAUAGAAAUGUAAUUAAUGUUAUUAAUCUAAAAUUUAUACGUAAUAAAUAAAUUUAUUUAACAGUUUCUUCAAAUAUUAUUAUUUACAUUUUAAUAUAAAGUGUUUGCUUUUAAUUUUCAUUAUAUUCUAUUAAAUAUGGAAUCAUUAUAUUGUAAUAUUAUUUGUUUAUUUAAGGUAAUUUAUUUUCAAUACAGACUUGGUAUAUACUAUUUAUAAAUAAUAUACUAACUUAAUAUAAUUAUUUUACUAACUUAAAAAUAUCAAAGGAUAAAAGGUGAUAAAAUAAUGAAAGAGAGUGAAUGUAUUUUAAUUUAUGUUUGUUAUUCACAUAAAGUAAGAUAUCUAAGAAUUUAAAACAAUAAAAUGUCUUUCAGUAAUUGAAAAAUGUAAGAUUGUUUACCAUAACGAUUUUGUAAAUUAAUUAUUAUGAUUCUCUUUCCAUUGUAAUUUUUAAAAAUGUUUCCUAGUAAGAGAUUCCCUCUAUGUUUGUAUCGUCAAUGUUUACUUGUAUAUAAAACAUUCAUUCUUUAUCACGUUUUCAAUAUCAAAUAAAAAUAAUAAUUGUUUAAUUAACAUAGUCAUCUAAUUAUUCAAAAGUCAUGACAAAAUUCUUGUGUUCGUAUCUGGUCAUCUCCAUGUUUGUUCUCUCAGCCUUUUUGGCUUUGCCAAAUGCACAGAAAAUAUGCAGGGUGAAUCCGAACCUUAGGAAGGCAUGCAGUUUUCAAGAAUGCACACCGCUUUGUCUUCAAAAGUACAACAUGGAUGGCAUUUGUAUCGGAAAUAACAAGAAUAUUUUCACUUGCAUUUACAAUUGUUAAAUUAGAAUGUUGCUAAACUAGACCCAAAAUCUUAUUAUAUGGGGCGUUAAUGACCUUAACUCCAUGUAUUUGGAGGAUAUGGUCAUAUCAUAUUUGAAUAAACGUUUUUUAUAUAGUAUAUCUGAUUUUGAAUGAAAAUCAAGUUUCAUGUGAUUGCCUUGGAACAAGCAAGGUGUAUUUGCUAAUUUUUGGAGGUUGGGUGUAAACGGUGACCAAAAAAUGAAAAAAAAUAAUGUAUUUCUUAUUAUUCCUAAUUUUUUUUACCAUUUAUAAUGAAUUGUUUUCUUUUUACAUUUCUUCUCAUUCUUUUUAUUUUAGUCAAUAAAAUUUGAUAAUGAAUAAUUUUCCUUUCAUUAUUUUACUUUUAUUUCUCUGUAUUUUUUUUACUUAUUCAUAAUGUGUAUGUAAUGGUGGCCAGUUAAACCCUUUCGGCUUGGCUUGGUAUUGAUAGGCAAGAAGUUAUUUAAAAAUUGUGUGAACCGGGGUUUAUAAAACCGGAAAACUGAACCAAACUAAACCAUAAAACCGGGUUAUGACUCCGGAAACAAAAACGCGACAAAAAGAACGUAGAACCAAAGUAACAUUCUGUCUGAGUCGAAGGGACUCUAACGUCAUCAAGGUUUCAUCCUUUUACGCUCCGCCGUACAAAUGGCGAGCAACGUCAGAAGGCCGUCAAACCUAACGGCAGCAGCCGUCCGGUUUCGACUUGCUCCGUUAUUACCGUUCUCCGGAAGUUCUGGUUCCGUUAACUCGGACACGACUCGUUGCUCCGAGUUAAUUCGAGUGCCGAGUUUAGUCGAAGGCUGCGACUACAAGCACUGGCUGGUGCUCAUGAAGCCUCCCAACGGAUACCCACCCCGAAACGACAUCGUACAAGGCUUUAUCAGAACGCUCGCCAUGGCUCUAGGGAGGUUAUAAAAGCCUAGGGAGACUAAGAAACCUGCAGAUUCUGGAUCUCUCUUUUAAUACAUUCAAUAGCAGUAUCUUUCCCUUUCUUAAUUCUGCUACAUCAGUCACAACUCUUUUUCUUCGGUGUAACUACAUGGAUGGCCCUCUUCCUGCUAAAGAACUUAAAGAUUUGACAAUCUUGGAAGUGCUGGAUCUCAGUGAAAACAGAUUUAGUGGCUCCAUACCAGUUACAAGAGUUAUCUGCCCUCAGGAAGCUGAAAUCUUUGAAUCUACAUCAUAACCAAUUUUCUGCACCAAUGGGAUCGCAAGGCA